GUCGAGCGAGCGGAACUAACAGAUUUACUUCGGCAAUGACGUUAGGAAAGCGAGCGGCGGAUGGGUGAGUAACACGUGGGGAACCUGCCCCAUAGUCUGGGAUACCACUUGGAAACAGGUGCUAAUACCGGAUAAGAAAGCAGAUCGCAUGAUCAGCUUUUAAAAGGCGGCGUAAGCUGUCGCUAUGGGAUGGCCCCGCGGUGCAUUAGCUAGUUGGUAAGGUAAAGGCUUACCAAGGCGAUGAUGCAUAGCCGAGUUGAGAGACUGAUCGGCCACAUUGGGACUGAGACACGGCCCAAACUCCUACGGGAGGCAGCAGUAGGGAAUCUUCCACAAUGGACGCAAGUCUGAUGGAGCAACGCCGCGUGAGUGAAGAAGGUUUUCGGAUCGUAAAGCUCUGUUGUUGGUGAAGAAGGAUAGAGGUAGUAACUGGCCUUUAUUUGACGGUAAUCAACCAGAAAGUCACGGCUAACUACGUGCCAGCAGCCGCGGUAAUACGUAGGUGGCAAGCGUUGUCCGGAUUUAUUGGGCGUAAAGCGAGCGCAGGCGGAAGAAUAAGUCUGAUGUGAAAGCCCUCGGCUUAACCGAGGAACUGCAUCGGAAACUGUUUUUCUUGAGUGCAGAAGAGGAGAGUGGAACUCCAUGUGUAGCGGUGGAAUGCGUAGAUAUAUGGAAGAACACCAGUGGCGAAGGCGGCUCUCUGGUCUGCAACUGACGCUGAGGCUCGAAAGCAUGGGUAGCGAACAGGAUUAGAUACCCUGGUAGUCCAUGCCGUAAACGAUGAGUGCUAAGUGUUGGGAGGUUUCCGCCUCUCAGUGCUGCAGCUAACGCAUUAAGCACU
rnacentral:rRNA from 1 species